ensembl:lncRNA
AUCCUUCAGCUCAGUGGCCGCCCGCCUCCUACCACAGGCUCCCAUCGCCUAGCCUGCUCCGCUUUUCCUUCCACCUCCCUGGUUGUGCCUCAGUUUACUUGGCCAAUCCCACUUUCUCUGCUCAGCUGCUAAGUCGUGAGUCACCCUGAGCCUUGUUCUCUUUCUCGCUCUUUUUUUUUUUUUGGCCACUCAAUGUGAUUUACUGGAUCUUCCUUAGUUCCCUGGCCAGUGUCCUCUGCAGCAAAAGCUUGGAGUCCUGACCACCAGACUACCAGGGAAUUCCCAGAACCUUGUUCCUUUACAAGGCUACAUUCUUGGCCAGUCUCCUGGCUUUAGAUUCAAAAAUCCAUUUCUCCACCACUGACCUCACCCCUGAGCUCUAAGCUCAUUUCCAGUUGAUGACUUGAUGCCUCUACCACACAGAUCUCCAAUGGCCACUGGGCUCGGCCUAUGACUUCUUCUGGCCAGUGAAAUGCAGGAGGGAAUGACAUCACCACACUUUUUCCUUUUCCGUGUUAACCAGCAAUAUUCAAAAAUCGACCUGGGUCCCAGAGAAAAAUGGUGGGAAGCAGAGCCACACCCAACCCACAGCAGACAUACAACAGAAGUGAGCACCGUUUCCUGUGUGAACUCACUGCGGUUUGUGGGGGAGCUUUUUACCACAGUAUAAUCUAGCCUCUCCUGACUACAUACACCUCAUAAGGUCGUGAAAUCCAAUAAGGCCCACAACUAAUCUCUUUCCCAACCUCCUCUGCAUGUAGAAGUGGCCACAUGACUGACUGGCAGCCAAUUGAUGGGAGUGGAUGUAGCUGGUGCCAGUUCCCUGCCAUCCAAUAAACCAGCCUUGAGCAGUCCUCCCACUGCACCUCUGCCUACGUGAGAUGCAAGCAAGCAAGGUCCGCUUGGAAGAUCUGUGUUGAAAAUCGACUCCUACAGCACCUCCACAUGGCCCUCAGGGUGAAGUCCAAAAGUUCUCUUGGGUUCAUCAGGCUGCUGCUGGCUUCUGCCCUACCUUUUACCAGCUCUCCAGCUCCCAGCCCCCAGCGUUCAGAGUUCCAGCCACAUCGACCUGCUUCCAUUUCCCUUUGGCAACUGCCCAGGGUGCUCUCAGGCCACCUUCCCACUCAGUCAGUUGAGAAUCAAUCUACCUCUGCAUUAACCCUUCCCUCCCCAAUUACUACUACCAGCUUUCUUCUUAAGACACCCAAAGCGCUACAGCACAUUCU